rnacentral:tRNA from 1 species
CGGGGUGUAGCUCAUUUGGUAGAGCGCGUGGUUUGGGACCAUGAGGUAGCACGUUCGAUUCGUGUCACCCCGA